rnacentral:lncRNA from 1 species
CUUCCAGUCGUCCGAACAGCUGAGCGGCUGUUUCAGGGGUUUUCUCUUUUGCCCAAACGCCACCUAAUAAAGUUCUGAAAGGCUGAAGAAAAAAGACCUUUCAGACUUCUAGGCCUUCAACGAGGUGCCCUGAAGAGAGCGCAGGAUGGCGCCCAGGGGUGGCGAAGGGGGCUCCUCCUGGGUCCCACUUGGCACGGGGCAGUCCGCAUCCCUGUCCAGCCGCUGAUGUCGCCGGGUCGAAGCAGCUGGAGUCCACGGUCGCGAGGCCACCGGCCUCUCGGCGUUUCUCCAGCCUGUCAGCUUCCGGCCAGCCCACGCCAGCAUCUGUCGUCAGGCAGAGAAGCCACAAAGGUGCUUGCUGCCAAGGACCAAGACAACGCAGAAGCCGAAGGGGAAGACGACCUGCAGGUGCCGGAGGUCCACGGCCGGGGCCUUGUGGUGACCGCGGGAGCCUGGCUCCUCAGCCGCGUGGGCGUCAAGAUCCGGGUCCUCCUGCCGGCGGCCGUUCGCUUCCGGCGGCCGCUUUCCCGCCACCGCCGCCGCGGCCCCGGGCCUGGGCGAGCCUGACUCCUCCACCGCGGUGCGGGGGAUGGAAGGAGCCGGAGAGGAGGUGCAGACGGUUCGUGAAUGUGUUGUUUUCUGUGCGGCCAAGAGAACACAACAAGCAUUUUGUGCAGUGAUGACCGAAUUUCCCUGUGGCCAGCCUACUGUGUGGUUUACACGUGGGACGCCUACCACAGCAUGGCUGCCAAGCAGUGCCAUGUCCGCACCCGGGAUCCGAACCAGCGAACCCUGGGCCGCCAAGAAGCGGAACGUGCGAACUUAACCGCUGCGCCACCGGGCCGGCCCCACAGAGUAGUUAUUUAAAGGAAACACUGUAUGACAUCAGAAAGCAAGAAGGGGCAAGAGACUUCCAUUAUGGCUGUGGAGGCUGCUGACAGUAGCUACAGGAAAUGGAUUCUCUGAGCCGUGCCUUCCUGUCAGGAGUGAAAGCAAGCGGUCCUGGAGAGCUGCCUCUUCAUCUCUGGGCUGGGGAAAAGGAGGGGUUUUAUUUAUUUCCAGUUUCUUCCUUCUAGUAAGAAAUCAGUUAUGUGAAUGUGCUAAUCAAAUUCCUUCAUACACAAUUAUAAUUUUAAGGAAUAAAUAAGUGGAACACCUUAAACAUGCCGUACCCUCUGAGUACUCAAAAAUCUUGAUUUUUUUUCCUGAUAUAAUAUAAAAGCCUUGCAUUUAAAUUAGAGUCUUGCACCUAAUGAUAUAAAACAGUUUUAGUCAGUUAUGAAUCAAUUAUUUGACUUCAAAGAUAAGGUUAGCUGUGAUUAACUAUCUCAGUUUUUCCUAGCUUUUAUUUCAUGGAAUUUUAUGUUUUUCCAUAAAGAAAAUUUCUUACACGUA